UUGGAAGCAGCCAUUCAUUUAAAGAGUGCGUAACAGCUCACUAGUCGAGGAGUCGGGCGUGGAUAAUAAUCGGGUAUUAAGUUGUCUACCGAAGCAGUGGGAUCAUUUAUAUGAUCGGUAGGGGAGCAUUCCAGUCAGCGUCGAAGGCGUACCGUGAGGUAUUCUGGAGCGUCUGGAAAAGCAAAUGUAGGUAUAAGUAACGAUAAAGGGGGCG
rnacentral:rRNA from 1 species